rnacentral:tRNA from 1 species
UGGCCCCUAGUGUAAUGGCAGCACGACUGACUCUGGAUCAGUUAGUCUAGGUUCGAAUCCUAGGGGGCCAG